GGGUAAAAGUAAGCUAACGACGAUAAGAUUCCCGAUCUCCUUCUCACUUGAAGGACCAUUAUACGGAUUGAAGUUGUUCUCGAGGUAGAGAGACACGAACAUUCCUGCUCAAACCGUGCUGCCUUUGCCGAUACCUGCUAGAAUAAUUGAUUCUCCUUCGUCAACCGAGACCAUUCGUGACAGUCAAACUGUUGACGGUGAGACUCAGUCAAAGACGCGUGAUAUUCCAGCCCUCCUACACUAUUUCUCAGAGAGAGACUUAUCAAAAGGUGAUUGCACCAACAUAGACUUAGAGUUCCUUUAAAUAGGUUAUGAGAAGAAUUUCUACCGUGUCAAUUAAUUAGUAUAGUAUCAAAAGGUUACUUCCAUUGUUAUAUAAACAUCUUUCAAUUUAAGAAGGUUUUCGCUCAUUAAUUAUACUACCAUUAGUUGUUCUAUAUUUUGUUCUAUAUUGUCGUUUCAAUUUGUGUCAACCCACCAAAAUUGAAAGUCUGAAUUAUAAUCAUUAACCGCACUAAAUUAAAUAAGAAGUAACAUGAAACUCUGAAUUCUAGCAAAACUAUAAUUUCCAUAAAACAAAAGUUUUAAGACGCUCAAUCUUGGGUUCAGAACCUUCCGAAACGGACUCUCUUGAUAUAACCGGGGCCUCCCAUGUAUAGUUCUAGCCAAGUCAAAAGGAGCUCUAAAUAAAUAAUUUCUUGGAGGAAAUAAAGUACUACAUACCAUGGACAUGGGAGAGGUGAUUAUUACCCGGUACUUGCAACUAACACCUGAUUAAAUUGGUACCGUGGUUAAUAACAUUGGAGCAGCAAUGCGUUGGGCUCUUAAAAUUUUUGCCAAAAUUUAAAAAAUCAGAAAGUGGGUUGAUACAGAUUU